GGGGAAUAUUGCGCAAUGGGCGAAAGCCUGACGCAGCGACGCCGCGUGAGGGAUGAAGGUUUUCGGAUCGUAAACCUCUGUCAGUAGGGAAGAAACCGCACCGUGCUAAUCAGCGGUGCCUUGACGGUACCUUCAAAGGAAGCACCGGCUAACUCCGUGCCAGCAGCCGCGGUAAUACGAAGGGGGCUAGCGUUGCUCGGAAUCACUGGGCGUAAAGCGCACGUAGGCGGAUCGUUAAGUCAGGGGUGAAAUCCUGGGGCUCAACCUCAGAACUGCCCUUGAUACUGGCGAUCUCGAGUUCGAGAGAGGUUGGUGGAACUCCGAGGGUAGAGGUGAAAUUCGUAGAUAUUCGGAAGAACACCAGUGGCGAAGGCGGCCAACCGGCUCGAUACUGACGCUGAGGUGCGAAAGCGUGGGGAGCAAACA
rnacentral:rRNA from 2 species